GUGACAGGCCUGGGGACUAGCAGCCACAAUGCACACAGUUAGGAAAACGUUAAGGAGGAGGUCUCCCCUCAAAGGCAAACCCACCACUCCCAGCCGACCCAGCGUUCUCAUUACAAGUCACACAGCCCCUCCCUGGGGCUCCAGUACCCAGAAUCCCAUGACUGAAAUACAGGACGGUGACUGAAGACAUCGAGAAGGAAGCAAUCCUCCCAUCUACAGUCAAAAGUGGAGGCAAGGUCCCGAUGGAAGAUUUGAUCUUGCAUAGAUAGACCAAGGUUUGAAUAUUCACUCAUCUGCUUCUGGUGUGACCUUGUAUGACAAGUCACUCAGCCUCUUGUGACAUCUGUGUGAAGAAUGAUAACGCCUAUGUAAUAGGGUUGCUGUGAGAAUUAAGCUGCUUUGAAAUUAUCAGUGGAACCCAUUAGUGCAAGACUGCUUUAUCUGGUGGCUAAAAAUGACCAAGACCAAGCUCUGAGGGGCUGGGCUGCAGCAUAUUUGAAUGCUGGGGGGCUCUGCAGAGCGGUCAGAAGCUGAUGCCCCUGACUAGGGAGAUGGUGUGUUCAAGGUGCUAAACCAGAAAGACACCUGGAAGCUGACAUAGAUUUCUACAGCCAAAAAGGGAGGACUCUGCAGCUUUCUCUGGAAGCCAAUUUGUAAAAGGACAGAUUCUUGGAAUGACCACUGCCUGGUUUACCUGCUUACAACAAGCUCGGUUUGAGGAGCAGUCUGAUGACGAUCAGUAGACUUUAGUUCCUCUCUGCAUAUGGCCAACACUUCAGAGCUUCGCCUGGGAAGCCCUCAGGGUUUACUGAUUUCUCGCUGAUCCUUCGUGAAGACUUCAAGAGGGAACAAUCAACCUGGUCACUUCCCUAUGCAGACUGCUUCCUGCCUCAAAAACAGGUGAAUAUCCAGCCUGGAAAGCACUUCAGCCUUGAAAUAUGCAAACACCCACUCAAUCUCUGGUCUCUGUUUCUCAAUGUCAGAUUUAGUUGAUUGUGCAAAGCACACAAACCUUCCACCAUUUUGAUAAUCAAUAAAUUGCUCUGGUAGAACACUUGCAAGGGGUUCUCUUGCUCUGUGUCUCUACUCUCUGACCAUUGAUUUUUUAGGUCAUAAAGAGGGAGGGAAACAGAGAAAGAGCUUAAGAAAUUAUUUUUCAUUCUCAAACUGGGAGCCAAGUAAUUUAUCCUAUUAAUUGUUCUGGAACAUUUCAUUCUGCCCUUUCUCUUCCAACACAACAACCUCUUGUCACAAAUCACUCAUUGUGAUUACACGCCAAAUUCCCAGCUUGGCCAUUAGUGUCAAAUAAUAGACUAUCAAUAGACUUAUAUUAAUUGCACAUUUAUGGGAUAGGCCAAGAAUCCUGACUGGGUCUCUGCAGGUCUGCUGUAGAAAUGAGUCUGGAGAUGGAACGGACUGUCUCUUGACUCGGAGCCAGAUAUCUGAUGGAUGACUUUAGCAGACAGUCAGCUUCUAAUCUUUGCUAGCAAAUGCAUCUCCACUAUCUACCCAUUGAUCUGAUAGCAAUGUUGAAAAAAGAACUCUCCUAAACUCAAAGUUUGAACAUUGGCUUUUUCAAAUCUUUGGACUGAUUGGAGAAAUAAAAAUGAAAUUUAUUUUGAAAGCAGCAAGUAUGAAUGGUCUGUGUGUGUACAUGUGUACUAGGUUUAUUAGAUUAAGAGAAGCAAGCAUAAACACACUUUGUUAAGAUACGCUAAUAUAUGCCCUCACCACCCACAACACACUUUUCCCCCAGUAUGAAACAUGAAAUAUAGUGUAAAUCACUCUGGAAAUGUGUGGUGGAAGGAAAAUGUACACUUAAAUGAAGAUAAUCAACACAUACUGAGUUCUAUUUUUCUAAAUGCUUGUGAAUCUUUUGCAUUUCUUCCAUAUAAUUCAGUAUCAGAGUUAAUGACAUAUCCUAGUUUCCUUUGGUACAGAAGCACCUCAAUUGCUGAAAAGUUUUGCUCCCUUCAAGACUGCUUAUCUGCUGCAAUAAUUACCAAUAAACCUCUCUGCACGAGAAAUAGCAGGGCUGAACGACUCUGUGAUGAAUAAAGAGAGUAGUCGGCUCCUCUUCAUUCAUCUUGAUAAUCUUCCUUGCUACGUAAACAGUAAGACACAUUGUCAAGAUUCAUGUUCAGGUCAAUUCUCAGCUCAACAUUGAUUGCAGAGAAAUUCUACCCAAUACACUGUUUUAUUAGAGCUGAAAGGCAACAACAGGAAAAUGGCAAAAGACCAUGGUAGUCUGAACUUGUAAGUGAAUGUGUGUGUGGGUGAGAGAGAGGAAUGGAAAGAAAGAGCAAUGGAUGUCUGUGGGAGCAGACAUAUCCAGCGGUGUGUCCAAUAAACACUCUUCUGAGAUUGGUCAACCCACUCGCUUUCAAUUGUGCUCCUCAGAAUCCGUGCUAACCUGAGGUAACAGACUCCGGGCAUAAAGAACAAUUCCAGAGCUAUGUUUCAAGGACUUCCUAUUUUAACAUCCUAAAACUUAACAAGUAUUAAAUCAACGUGACUACUGUAAGGCUACUGAAGGGCUGGGGUUAGGUAGUGACUCUAAAAAUAUCCGAGAAUUGAUAGGAUCAUAUUCCCAAACAAGUCCGGACUUCUCUCAGCUACGCCCAGUGAGAAGAAAAUCCUCAGUGUAGGAAAAUAAUUCACAGGCAGGCCCCUGGGAGACCCUGUGAUGGCUGAAACGUUUCCCUCCGGGGAUAGAUGUAAUGUGUUAAUGCUAGAGAACCAACCAGAACGGAUGAGAUCUGCCCGUCUGGUCCAAGCCCAGAGGAAACCAGACACUUCCCAAGGCUUCUUUCCCCUUAGGAUUGCAUCAGUCUCACUGUAUGGGCUUAUUUUUAAACAUUGGUUGAAAAUGCAAUAGCCCAGCUGUUCAACGUCACAACAGAAGGUCAAUUUUAUACAGUUGUUCUUCCUUGAAGAGCUUAAGUUAAGUGACCCAAAAGGCCAAUUUUUCCAACUAAUGAAGGAACUUGUUCCUGGAAAGUUGCCAUUUUGCUGUGAAACUUAUGUUUCCUCGUUUUACUAAUGCAAACGUUGAACUUUGGAAAUGUUAGUGUAUUUAAUUUUCAUAGUUUUGGGGCUUGGAUUACUAGGUAUAAGCACGUCUUUAUUAUUGUUAACAAUGAACUGAACCUGGAUAAUCCGCUGAUAAUUCCCAAAUUGCACAGAGCCCAAAUCUAGCCAACCAAAAUUCUUUUAAACAUGGUUUAAAAUCUCUUAAAAAUGGUCAGAAAUAGCAUCUCCCCUGUGAAACAGUCAAAAGAGUGGCCAUUGCAGAAUAGGACGGUGAAGAACGGAGAGACCCAACACAGAGCCGGGAGCCAGAUGCCCCUGGGUUCAAAUGCAAGCUCUGCCACUUCUUGGUUUAGCUGAGUGACCUUGCCUCAGUCUUCUGCUCUUUCAAACAGGGACGGAACUUACUCCGUAGGAUUGUUGUGAAAACUAGGUGAGUUCACGCGUAUAAAGUUUCUUAGAAAAGUGCGGCACGGUGUCUGCAGUCAGCUCAUCACAAAGUGACAGGCGCUCUUUUCGUGUUUGUUGAUCCUCACCACACUCCUGAGGGACUCACCGAGGGUGACAGCACGAGAAAGGCAGAGCACCAGUGUUUGCGGGUCGGCUCUCCUGCGCAGUCUCUGUCUAUAGCAGUAUACUUUUAGCAUCUCCCAUGGGCAAAAUGUUCUCUCAAGCCUCAUGAAACAAUUACACAUCAUUAAAGCACAAAGCAGGUCUCCAGGAUGGCCACGUGCCCGCCCCCCACGCCUCCUCGAUGUGGCCUGAGAGCUUUCAACUCCACUUUUCCUUGGGGCUCAGGCAGUUAGUGGUUCCCCAGCAGGCGCCAUCCCCACGUGGUCAGGAACACAGAAGUCACCAGUUUGUUCACCUGCCACAAACGGCUCUGAAACGAAGCUUUCCCGACGCCCAUGCAGAAGUGGGUCUCCUGUGUGCCAGAGGACAUCUCCCAGCCACCGUUUUGUCCACCCCCUAAUGAGUGUAUCAUUCUAAGGAGACACAAAACCCCUGUAUCGUUGUCAACACGCCCCAGACAGUGCUGGCUUCCAUGUCACAUUUUAUUCUUUUCAAGAAAGACAAUGCAUUAAAUGCAAGUGCAAAUGGAAUUUUAAAAAUGUGUGUAACCGCUGCUUUUUCUGUAGAAAAAAAACAAACAUGAAAAGUAUUCCUUUAUCAGAAAAUAUGCUCAGGGCAGGAUCGGUUCCCUCUCUAACCAGCACUCCAGCUCCAGCAUCAGUUAUGGCUCAGAAAUCUAACCAUUUGAUGCUGGCAGGACCUUGACUUCAGCCUAGCCAAAGUGAAUUAAGCUCACCUGGUUUUGCUAUGCAUGUGUGCGCGUAUGCACCUGUGUGUGUAUGAGCAUGUGAUCACGUGAGUUUUCCUUCCAGGGUGGUGAGCUGCAGGGACUGGACGUAUAUUAUAAAAAACCUGGGUUCUCAUGGGCAGAGGGCUGCCUGGACAUGCGGUGUUCACAGAUGUGACUUUGAACCCCAGAUGAUAGUUUUCCAAGCUAAUGUGACUAAUGUGCUCCUUGUAGGUGACAUUUCCUGCUGUUCCAUGUUCUCGAAUAAAGGCAGACACUGGCUGAAUCAGAGGCC
rnacentral:lncRNA from 1 species